rnacentral:rRNA from 1 species
AGGUAGUUGGUGAGGUAACGGCCCACCAAGCCGACGAUCGGUAGCCGACCUGAGAGGGUGAUCGGCCACAUUGGGACUGAGACACGGCCCAAACUCCUACGGGAGGCAGCAGUGGGAAUAUUGGGCAAUGGGGGGAACCCUGACCCAGCAACGCCGCGUGGAGGAAGAAGGUUUUCGGAUCGUAAACUCCUGUCCUUGGAGACGAGUAGAAGACGGUAUCCAAGGAGGAAGCCCCGGCUAACUACGUGCCAGCAGCCGCGGUAAUACGUAGGGGGCAAGCGUUGUCCGGAAUAAUUGGGCGUAAAGGGCGCGUAGGCGGCUCGGUAAGUCUGGAGUGAAAGUCCUGCUUUUAAGGUGGGAAUUGCUUUGGAUACUGUCGGGCUUGAGUGCAGGAGAGGUUAGUGGAAUUCCCAGUGUAGCGGUGAAAUGCGUAGAGAUUGGGAGGAACACCAGUGGCGAAGGCGACUAACUGGACUGUAACUGACGCUGAGGCGCGAAAGUGUGGGGAGCAAACAGGAUUAGAUACCCUGGUAGUCCACACUGUAAACGAUGAAUGCUAGGUGUAGGGGGUAUCGACCCCUUCUGUGCCGCAGUCAACACAAUAAGCAUUCCGCCUGGGGAGUACGGCCGCAAGGUUGAAACUCAAAGGAAUUGACGGGGGCCCGCACAAGCAGCGGAGCAUGUGGUUUAAUUCGACGCAACGCGAAGAACCUUACCAGGUCUUGACAUCCACUUAAACUUACAGAGAUGUAAGGUGUGCUUGCACAAAGUGAGACAGGUGGUGCAUGGUUGUCGUCAGCUCGUGUCGUGAGAUGUUGGGUUAAGUCCCGCAACGAGCGCAACCCUUAUCUUCAGUUACUAACGCGUAGAGGUGAGGACUCUGAAGAGACUGCCGGGGACAACUCGGAGGAAGGUGGGGACGACGUCAAAUCAUCAUGCCCCUUAUGACCUGGGCUACACACGUCUACAAUGGCCACGACAGAGAGAAGCGAAAUCGAAGGUAGAGCGGAACUCAAAAAAAGUGGUCCCAGUUCGGAUUGUGGGCUGCAACCCGCCCACAUGAAGUCGGAGUUGCUAGUAAUCGCGGAUCAGCAUGCCGCGGUGAAUACGUUCCCGGGCCUUGUACACACCGCCCGUCACACCAUGGGAGUUGGGAGUGCCCAAAGCCGGUGAGGCAACCGCAAGGAGCCAGCCGUCUAAGGCAAGACCAAUGACUGGGGUGAAGUCGUAACAAGGUAGCCGUAUCGGAAGGUGCGGCUG